rnacentral:tRNA from 1 species
GCGAAGAUGUCCGAGCGGUUAAGGAGUGCGACUCAAGUUCGCAUGGCGCAAGCCUCAUGGGUUCGAAUCCCAUUCUUCGCA